rnacentral:rRNA from 1 species
UACAGAGGGGGCGAGCGUUGUUCGGAAUUACUGGGCGUAAAGGGCGCGUAGGCGGCCAACUAAGUCAGACGUGAAAUCCCUCAGCUUAACUGGGGAACUGCGUCUGAGACUGGCAAGCUUGAGUGCAGGAGAGGAACGCGGAAUUCCAGGUGUAGCGGUGAAAUGCGUAGAGAUCCGGAGGAACACCGAAGGCGAAGGCAGUGUCCUGGCGAGUGACUGACGCUGAGGUGCGAAAGCCAGGGGAGCGAACGGG